UCUGAUCUAUGAUGACGAACUUACAAUUAUGCGGACUGCUGGAUGAACGUAGCGGAUAUGGGACUGAGAUCAGCC